rnacentral:rRNA from 1 species
GAGGAAGUAAAAGUCGUAACAAGGUCUCCGUUGGUGAACCAGCGGAGGGAUCAUUAGAGAGUGUUAAAACUCCCAAACCCAUGUGAACAUACCUCUCGUUGCCUCGGCGGAGAGGGGACCUACCCCGGAAGGGGUUACCCUGCAAGGGGUACCCGGGUCUCCCCGCCGCCGCGGGCCCGUGAAACUCUGUUUUAUUUUGGAACUCUGAAUCUUAAAGCAAAUAAGUUAAAACUUUCAACAACGGAUCUCUUGGUUCUGGCAUCGAUGAAGAACGCAGCGAAAUGCGAUAAGUAAUGUGAAUUGCAGAAUUCAGUGAAUCAUCGAAUCUUUGAACGCACAUUGCGCCCAUUAGUAUUCUAGUGGGCAUGCCUGUUCGAGCGUCAUUAAGUCCAUUAAGCCCUGUUGCUUAGCGUUGGGAGCCUGCUGGCCACGGCCCUGCAGCUCCUCAAAACCAGUGGCGGAGUCAGUGUUUACUCUAGGCGUAGUAAUUAAUAUCUCGCUUUUGCAGUGGCGCUGGCGCUUGCCGUAAAACCCCCAACUUAUAGUGGUUUGACCUCGGAUCAGGUAGGAAUACCCGCUGAACUUAAG